CUUAGUUAGUUAAUAUAAUUGAACAUCUUUAGUUUAGGUCUGAACAUCUUUAGUUUAGGAUUGAACAUCCUUAGUAUAAUUUUUCGAUAAAAGAUUACAUAAUUAAUAUUACAUGUUAAUGAUUAAUUAAAAAUGCGUAAAACUGAUACGACACCUCCAUGGAUCCCGCCCCCUUCAUCCGGGGCCCUUCGAGCCAGAGGUGCUUCAUCUACAGCAGUAGCAUAGGUCCCAGCUAGUAUGGGAUUCGGAUGUAGAUCCCAACCUCUUCGUCCGUCCCAGGUUUAUGGAACAAGCAUGGGAUAUUUUAGCAACUCGGCCCCUAUAUCCUCGCGUCUUAGAGAUACUAUAUCAGGGCAGUAUCUACCGUUGCGUCGCUGUUGGUCGUGUACAACAUGACAGGGUUCUUGUGACGGCCAUGAUUGAGCGAUGGCGACCGGAGACCCAUACAUUUCAUCUUCGCUUUGGUGAGGCCACCAUCACCCUUCAGGGCGUGGAGGUCAUUUACGGUAUCUAGGUAGAUGGACACGCUUUGUAUAUUGAGGAGCCCCAGCAGAUGCCGUCGUAUAGGUAGGAGUUGACUAGGCUCACUGGUUUCGAGCCGCAGUCGCGUGAUAUAUGGGGACAGAGUCGGCUGUCGAUGCAGUCCCUCUUCACUCACUUGUGCAUCGUAGACAUAGAGCAUACAAUUACAGAGGACACACCUUAGGUUGAUAUUGAUCGACAUGCUCGUCUUUACCUUCUCGUCAUAUUCGGGGGCAUCCUGUUCCCGAACAUAUCGGGUUCCCAUGUGAGCUUAAGGUAUUUGCCGUUUCUGGAGCAUCUGGGCGAGUUAGGAUGUUACAGUUGGGGCACUGCUGUUCUGGCUUUCAUGUAUCGAGGAUUCUGUCGAUCAUCUAUGGGCGCGAGGACCGAUGUCGCUGCAUUUUAUCCGCUCAUCCAGAUAUGGGUAUGGACUAGGAUGAGACCUUUUCAACCCAUAGUUGCUACCACUCCACUCGACUAUAUUGUUGAGGCGAUGCCAUACGCGCGGAGAUGGACGAGAGGAGGCGUUAUCCGAGAUGUGGGUACGCACUACAGUAUUCUCCCGUUCAGGGAUCAGCUGGAUCGUAUGACGUCGGACACGGUUGUAACGGUUCGCAUUUUCGCGGGCGGGAUUAGCUCUCGGAAAAAGCUACUUCAAAAUCGUUGGUGCUCUUUCAGACUUUGUUUUAAAAGAGUCGCCACCUAAUUUUUAGGAAAGUAGGAAAACCAGUUUUGAAGGGUUUAUUCAUACGCCGUGAAAGAUCCUUCUUAAUUCAAAGUUCUAGGUAAGGAUUCUGGUGAUCCCCUAGGGAAGGUAUUAAGCACCCUAGUAUUAAGGAUCCGUACUAUACUGUUGACCUUCGAAUUCCAACGUGUGAGUAUUUGCAUGAACUGUGUACUUAGAGUUUAUUUCUAGCAAAAAGCCUGUCAUGUUGCAUAUCAUCAUUUUUCUUAAAGAAUUGAAUAUAUUCCCUUUACAUAUAGGGUAUUUAGGUUCGGAUUUAUAAUAUCCGGGUAUAAUUAGUUCCUUUUAUGUAUAAGGAUAGUAGUCUUUCUAUAGAAAAGGAUAGAAAGUUUAUUUAUUUU